rnacentral:rRNA from 1 species
GUGAGGAAUAUUGGUCAAUGGGCGCGAGCCUGAACCAGCCAAGUAGCGUGCAGGAUGACGGCCCUAUGGGUUGUAAACUGCUUUUAUGCGGGGAUAAAGUGCACCACGUGUGGUGUUUUGUAGGUACCGCAUGAAUAAGGACCGGCUAAUUCCGUGCCAGCAGCCGCGGUAAUACGGAAGGUCCGGGCGUUAUCCGGAUUUAUUGGGUUUAAAGGGAGCGCAGGCUGGAGAUUAAGCGUGACGUGAAAUGUAGCCGCUCAACGGCUGAGUUGCGUCGCGAACUGGUUUUCUUGAGUGAGUACGACGUCAGCGGAAUUCGUGGUGUAGCGGUGAAAUGCUUAGAUAUCACGAAGAACCCCGAUUGCGAAGGCAGCUGACGAGUCCUUUACUGACGCUAAAGCUCGAAGGUGCGGGUAUCGAACAGG